rnacentral:rRNA from 1 species
UACGGAGGGUGCAAGCGUUAUCCGGAUUUACUGGGUUUAAAGGGUGCGUAGGUGGGCAGUUAAGUCAGUGGUGAAAUCUCCGAGCUUAACUCGGAAACUGCCAUUGAUACUAUCUGUCUUGAAUAUCCUGGAGGUGAGCGGAAUAUGUCAUGUAGCGGUGAAAUGCUUAGAUAUGACAUAGAACACCAAUUGCGAAGGCAGCUCACUACGGGAUUAUUGACACUGAGGCACGAAGCGUGGGAUCAAACAGG